rnacentral:rRNA from 1 species
GAUGAACGCUAGCUACAGGCUUAACACAUGCAAGUCGAGGGACCGGCGCACGGGAGAGUAACCCGUAUCCAACCUGCCCUUUACUCGGGGAUAGCCUUUCGAAAGAAAGAUUAAUACCCGAUGUAAAGGAUGGGGAUGCGUUCCCUUAGGUUGUUGGUGAGGUAACGUCGCACCAAGCCUUCGAUGGAUAGGGGUUCUGAGAGGAAGGUCCACCACAUUGGAACUGGGACACGGUCCAAUAUCCUAGUGGAGGCAGGAGGGAGGAAUAUAGGGCAAUGGGCGUUAGCCGGAACCAGCCAAGUAGCGUGAAGGAUGAAGGCGUAUGGGUCGUAACCUUCUUGUAUAUAAGAAUAUGUAUUAGAUGAAUAAGGAUCGGCUAACUCCGUGCCAGCAGCCGCGGUAAUAC